rnacentral:sRNA from 1 species
AAAAGAACUUUGGAGAGAGAGUCAAAGAGAACGCGAAACCGUUAGGAGGGAAGCGAAUGCAGCCAGUACGAGCCCCGUCAGGUUCAGGAGCAGCGGAAGCGUCGCCCUGGGGUUCCGCCUAGAUGGCGCCCGAGGGUAGUUGCGAGGCCGCGCAUCUGCACUCCUGCGGGGCUCUUGCCAACGGCAGUGGUCGGUGCUCGAGAGCAGUCGGGGAGGUGACCUUCCUUCUCCUCGGAGGAGGGAGGAGCUUACAACCCCUCUGUGACGGGCAUCGGCGACUGAGGAGACGAUCACUUUGAUCUGGAGGACGCAGGCCCUCCCCGGGGCUGGCCCCCCUCUCGGACGUCCGGUCUCGUGACCCAGGACUGCAUGCAGUGCUGGGAUGCGUGCGCCUUCGACCGGGGGGGAAGGGUGCAACUGCGUCGGGCGGUUGGCAAAACGUGGCUCCAUCCGUCCCGUCUUG